rnacentral:lncRNA from 1 species
GCAGCUGGUGUCUUGCAGCCUGGCACAAGUGUGGGUAUGGCCUGCAAAGGGCAGCAGGGAAGGCAGGGGGCUCAUCUGCGCCCCUGCGCCCACAGAGUACCUUUCACUGCGCGCGGCUGGCCGCAGGGGCUGGACUGCAGCUGGUGGACGCUGUGCUCACUGGAGCUGUGCAAAAUGGGCUUGCCCUGGUGAGGCCUCCCGGGCACCAUGGCCAGAGGGCGGCUGCCAACGGGUUCUGUGUGUUCAACAACGUGGCCAUAGCAGCUGCACAUGCCAAGCAGAAACACGGGCUACACAGGAUCCUCGUCGUGGACUGGGAUGUGCACCAUGGCCAGGGGAUCCAGUAUCUCUUUGAGGAUGACCCCAGGUGAGCAGGGGUGCGGAAACCACCCUUCCCUGCAGCCCCAGUUUUUGGGUGCACAGCCUGGCCUGGGAAAAUCCAGGGGUGAGAUACAGACAUGUGCUCAGGGGUCAGCGUUCUACAGGGAGCUGUAGAGCUGUUGAGGGUCCUGACCUUUGACCUCUGGCCCUGGCUGGCUGUUGGCAGCGUCCUUUACUUCUCCUGGCACCGCUAUGAGCAUGGGCGCUUCUGGCCUUUCCUGCGAGAGUCAGAUGCAGACGCAGUGGGGCGGGGACAGGGCCUCGGCUUCACUGUCAACCUGCCCUGGAACCAGGUGCCCACCCUCAAGCCCCAGGUCCCCACCCAGCCCCCUCC